rnacentral:misc_RNA from 1 species
ACACACACACACACACACACAGGGUGAGAUGGUCUGUCAUAAAAUACUGCAUUGAGGUGUCGAGUGACUGUUUCAAGCAACCUAGAUUUCUUGACCAGCCAUUGGACGAUUGGUUCAAAUUUUGCAUAAUGAAAAAAGGGCAAUUAAAGGGCCUAUUGUACAAAAUUCUCCCUACUCCAUGAGGAUUUUAAUUAUUCAUUCAUCCAUAUGAAGUAGUACGUGUGUGGUAAAAGUUAAUAUUAUUUUACUUUGUACCCGCGUGGUUGAAACAAAUUUUCAUCGACUAAUAAUGCUUUCAUGCUUCCAGGUG